rnacentral:rRNA from 1 species
UACGUAGGGUGCAAGCGUUGUUCGGAAUCAUUGGGCGUAAAGCGCGUGUAGGCUGUUAGUUAAGUCGGAUGUGAAAUCCCUGGGCUCAACCGAGGAAGUGCAUUCGAAACUAGCUAGCUAGAGAGUGGUAGAGGAAGGUGGAAUUCCUAGUGUAGAGGUGAAAUUCGUAGAUAUUAGGAGGAAUACCGGCGGCGAAGGCGGCCUUCUGGACCAAUUCUGACGCUGAGACGCGAAAGCGUGGGGAGCAAACAGG